ensembl:lncRNA
CAAAGCAAGACAUGGAUAACACCAGAAACUGGAUAAUCAGCCUCAAAAUGGGCGAAUUUUUACCAGCUGAGCUACCAGGGAAGCCCCUGCAUAAAUCCACAUGAAGAGCGUUUCUUGACAACUGAAAGGAAUUCACUGGUGAACAGUUACUGGUGUCAGGAAUAAGAAGCAGUUAAGGAAUGCUGGUAAUGCCACCUCCCACGCACACUCUUCUGACAAGUGGAAUGUGAUCCCAGUAGAAUGAAAAAGAAGCAAAGGUGUCAACUGUAAUGAUAGUAAAAUUAACACUUCGAGGAGUAGCUCAGCCUUUCUCUUACCUGGCUCUGUCAAUUGUGUUGUUGCUCCAUUUCUAUUGACAAGUAUUAUAUCUAUCUGCAUUUUAUAUCUCAGAAGUUGAGUAAGAGUUCAAAAGUGGAGCAAUUCUGGAUGAUGAUCAGCUCCAAGAGACAGCCAUGGAAGUGAAUGGUUAAACGUCAACAUUCAAGUCUCCCUAAUUUCCUAUGUGUUAAUGUAGUUUUGUAAUAAAUGUUAUUGGUAUAUGUGGUAGGCAGAAUUCUGAGAUGAUCCCAAUGACUCUUACAAUCUUCUCUCUUAAGUCUGUGUGUGGAACCUGUGAAAGUGUGAGACAUCAAUCCUAUGAUUGUCAUAAUUUAUAGCAAAAGAGAUUUUGUGGAUGUAAUUGAAUAAUUACAGGGACCUUUCAAAGGAACUGGACUCUUCCUCGAAAAAGUGAUUUGAAGCAUGACAGGGAUUCCAUGCAAGAGACAUUCAUCCAUCCAUCGCUGGAUUUAAAGAUGGAGGAUUCCAUGAAGUAAAUGACAUGAGCUCUAGAUUAGAGUAACCUCUGAUUUACAGCAGGCAAGGAAACUGGGACUUUGGUUAUACAGUCACAAGGAACCCAAUAAUGUCCCAACCGUGUGAACUUGGAAGAGGAUCCUAACCCAGAUGAGAACACAGAGCAGCUGACACCUUGAUUUUAGCUUGAGGAGAAUCUGUGCAGCGAAUUCACUCAGUGUAGUAUCCAGAUUCAUGACCUACAAAAUU